rnacentral:sRNA from 1 species
ACUAAUUUUUGUAUUUUUAGUAGAGACAGUGUUUCACCACAUUGGCCAGGCUGGUCUUGAACUCCUGAUCUCAGGUGAUCUGCCCGCCUUGACCUCCCAAAGUGCUGGGACUUCAGGUGUGAGCCACCACGCCCAGCCAAGAAAUUGAUUUUUUUAGUUAAUAAUGUUUACCAAGUAUUGUAGUUGAGUGAAGUCUUCAAGCUUAAAAGUAAACCUUCAGCAUGUUAUUACCUAAGGAAUUUGUGUCAAGGCUAAUUGAACCUGAAUCUCUUAAAUGUUUUGUUUUUGUAGAGAGGAAAAUAUGACGUUCCCAAGUGGCUUUCUCCUAGUAGCAUUCUGCUUCUUCAACAAAUGCUGCAGGUGGACCCAAAGAAACGGAUUUCUAUGAAAAAUCUAUUGAACCAUCCCUGGAUCAUGCAAGAUUACAACUAUCCUGUUGAGUGGCAAAGCAAGAAUCCU